UACGUAGGGUGCAAGGCCGUUAAUCGGAAUUACUGGGCGUAAAGCGUGCGCAGGCGGUUUUGUAAGUCUGUUGUGAAAUCCCCGGGCUCAACCUGGGAACUGCAUUUGUGACUGGCAAGCUAGAGUAUGGCAGAGGGGGGUAGAAUUCCACGUGUAGCAGUGAAAUGCGUAGAGAUGUGGAGGAAUACCGAUGGCGAAGGCAGCCCCCUGGGCCAAUACUGACGCUCAUG
rnacentral:rRNA from 1 species